AUUGUUUUGGCAGAAAAGUGCGUUAGAUUUAGAAUCUUUUUAUGUAAUGUUUAGUUUUACAGAUAAUA
rnacentral:tRNA from 1 species